GCCUUGUUAGCUCAGUGGUAGUGAGUGUGCCAAAAAAGGAAAAUUUUUUCUAUACCUAACCGAAAUAGGAGCGCAUCACUAGUAAUGAUGAGGUCGCGAGUUCAAUUCUCUCACGAGGCA